rnacentral:rRNA from 1 species
UACGUAGGGGGCAAGCGUUGUCCGGAAUCAUUGGGCGUAAAGAGCGUGUAGGCGGCCAGAAAAGUCCGCUGUGAAAACUCGAGGCUCAACUUCGAGCUGUCGGUGGAAACUUUCUGGCUAGAGUCCGGAAGAGGAGAAUGGAAUUCCCGGUGUAGCGGUGAAAUGCGCAGAUAUCGGGAAGAACACCCGUGGCGAAGGCGGCUCUCUGGGGACGGUACUGACGCUGAGACGCGAAAGCGUGGGGAGCGAACAGG